UCCUUCUUACCACACAUAUGAUUACUACACCCUGAGUCAAUGAACCAUGCUUCUUCCUUAUCUGAUUCUUUAUUUUCCAUGGAUGCCAUCAAAAGCAUUUCAUCUUGAAAUUCUGCAUAAUUGACUUCACUCUCCUUGCUUGGACAUUCAUAUUGAAAAUGUCCAAGUUUAUGGCAGUAAUAACACUCCACAGUGGACUUGUCAAAAUUGGCAUGCCCCUUCCUCCUCCUCGUCCGCGAAAUCUCCACGACCACGACCCGGACGCGCUCUUGUUCUGCUUCAUAGUUACUUACAAGGCUUGCUCUUCAAUAACAGGAACAUUCAGCUUGCUUGCUCAUGCACCAGCAAGCUACUUUGUAGUUGGUCGACUGAUAAGGCGUCAAUGUCAUUUGACUCCUCAAUGGAGCAAACCACAUAGUUGAAUUUCGGAGUCAUGGACCGCAAAAUUUUUUCAAUAACAACAACAUCUCCCAUAGUCUCUCCAUGAGUUCUCAUCUUGUUGGCUAUGGUGAGGGUUCGAGAAAAGUACUCGUUCACCGAUUCUCCAGCUUUCAUCUGCAAGAUUUCAAAUUCCCUUCGAAGUGCUUGUAGUUGUGCUCGUU
rnacentral:lncRNA from 1 species